rnacentral:rRNA from 1 species
GACGAACGCUGGCGGCGUGCUUAACACAUGCAAGUCGAACGGUGAAGCGCCUUCUUUUUUGGUUGGUGUGGUUGAGUGGCGAACGGUAGAGUAACACGUAAGUAACCUGCCCCCUUCUUCUGGAUAACCGCAUGAAAGUGUGUCUAAUACGGUAUAUGCUGUGGCAUUCGCAUGAUGGGUCUGGGACAGUUAUUGUUUCGGUGGGUGGUGGUCUCGCGGCGUAUCAGUUUGUUGGUGGGGUGAUGGACUAACAAGGCGGUGGUUGGUAGCCGGCCUGAGAGAGAGGGUGGACGCUCUCGCUGUGACUGAGACACGGGACAGCUUCGUACGGCGGCAAGAAGGGGGGAUUAUUGAAGGAUGGGAGCAAGACUGAGGCAGCGACGCUGCGUGAGGGAGGUAUGCCUUCGGGUUGUGAACCUUGUUCGCGAGUGAAGCGGGCCUGCCUCGUUUGUUCGUGGGUUGACGGUAGCUUGAUAAGAAGCGCCGGCUAACUACGUG